rnacentral:rRNA from 1 species
ACUGCUCAGUAACACGUGGAUAACCUGCCCUUGGGUCCGGCAUAACCCCGGGAAACUGGGGAUAAUUCCGGAUAACGCACAUAUGCUGGAAUGCUUUGUGCGUAAAAUGGAUUCGUCUGCCCAAGGAUGGGUCUGCGGCCUAUCAGGUAGUAGUGGGUGUAAUGUACCUACUAGCCUACAACGGGUACGGGUUGUGAGAGCAAGAGCCCGGAGAUGGAUUCUGAGACAUGAAUCCAGGCCCUACGGGGCGCAGCAGGCGCGAAAACUUUACAAUGCGGGAAACCGUGAUAAGGGGACACCGAGUGCCAGCAUCAUAUGCUGGCUGUCCAGGUGUGUAAAAUACACCUGUUAGCAAGGGCCGGGCAAGACCGGUGCCAGCCGCCGCGGUAACACCGGCGGCCCGAGUGGUGAUCGUGAUUAUUGGGUCUAAAGGGUCCGUAGCCGUUUUGGUCAGUCCUCCGGGAAAUCUGACGGCUUAACCGUUAGGCUUUCGGGGGAUACUGCCAGGCUUGGAACCGGGAGAGGUAAGAGGUACUACAGGGGUAGGAGUGAAAUCUUGUAAUCCCUGUGGGACCACCUGUGGCGAAGGCGUCUUACCAGAACGGGUUCGACGGUGAGGGACGAAAGCUGGGGGCACGAACCGGAUUAGAUGCCCGGGUAGUCCCAGCCGUAAACGAUGCUCGCUAGGUGUCAGGCAUGGCGCGACCGUGUCUGGUGCCGCAGGGAAGCCGUGAAGCGAGCCACCUGGGAAGUACGGCCGCAAGGCUGAAACUUAAAGGAAUUGGCGGGGGAGCAC